rnacentral:misc_RNA from 1 species
GAAAAUCAGCUACAUAACGCGAUUCCCUUGGGUAUUGUGAACCUCCCUAAUCUGAGAUUCUUCGAUCUUAGCAGUAAUUAUCUCACUGGCCCUGUGCUUGUUGAUUUUGAGAAACUUGGACGUUUGGAAUAUUUGGUUUUGGAGAAUAACAAGUUCACAGGAAUAAUUCCAUCUUCAAUUAGAUAUUUAUCUUUUCUGAGUUUUGUCUUCAUGAAGUUCAACAAUUUCAAUGGAAGCAUACCCGCAAGUCUUGCAACCUGUCGUAACUUGAUCGUGUUGGAUCUCUCUCAUAAUAGUCUCAGUGGUUCCAUACCUCCAGAGGUUAUCGGCCUUCAAUCCCUUUCAAU